UACGGGGGGGGCAAGCGUUGUUCGGAAUUACUGGGCGUAAAGGGCGCGUAGGCGGUUGGAUAAGUCAGCUGUGAAAACCACGGGCUUAACUCGUGGCCUGCAGUUGAGACUGUCUGGCUUGAGUGUGGGAGAGGAGAGUGGAACUGCGAGUGUAGAGGUGAAAUUCGUAGAUAUUCGCAAGAACACCAGUGGCGAAGGCGGCUCACUGGCCCGAUACUGACGCUGAGGCACGAAAAGCGUGGGGGAGCAAACAGG
rnacentral:rRNA from 1 species